CCUACGGGUGGCAGCAGUCGAGAAUCAUUCACAAUGGGGGAAACCCUGAUGGUGCGACGCCGCGUGGGGGAAUGAAGGUCUUCGGAUUGUAAACCCCUGUCAUGUGGGAGCAAAUUAAAAAGAUAGUACCACAAGAGGAAGAGACGGCUAACUCUGUGCCAGCAGCCUCGGUAAUACAGAGGUCUCAAGCGUUGGUCGGAAUCACUGGGCGUAAGGCGUGCGUAGGCUGUUUCGUAAGUCGUGUGUGAAAGGCGCGGGCUCAACCCGCGGACGGCACAGGAGACUGCGAGACUAGAGUAAUGGAGGGGGAACCGGAAUUCUCGGUGUAGCAGUGAAAUGCGUAGAUAUCGAGAGGAACACUCGUGGCGAAGGCGGGUUCCUGGACAUUAACUGACGCUGAGGCACGAAGGCCAGGGGAGCGAAAGGGAUUAGAUACCCGAGUAGUC
rnacentral:rRNA from 1 species